GUGGCCGCGCAAGCCGUAUUCAGAGGUUCCGAGAGCGGACCGUUCGGCGUGAGCGCAGCUUUCUCCUACGACGCAUUUGAUUUCCUCCCGAAGGACGCCGCAACCGGUUGGGAAACGGCCUUAAAGUCGAGCGACGGCAGGUGGCCGGUGGUGCGCUUCUUGCGCGUCGUCGGUGUCUAGCCGGCUCGUCACACGGCGSGUAGCCCGACCGUGGKGUCGCGAAGCCCUCCCAUGGGCUUCUCCGCCUCCUCUCGUAAAAAGACGGGCACUGGACGUGGCAGUGGCUCUCCARCGKUGCGGGCGCACAGACUGWSUSKGYGGCCAGCGGCCUGSAGUCCACGUURGCUGCGCGAGAUGCGUUGGAGGUCGGCGGUUGGCGGCGAGUAGAUCGGUCACCCAUCCGACCCGUCUUGAAACACGGACCAAGGAGUCUAACAUGUGUGCGAGUCAAUGGGUCUCGAAUAAGCCCAGAGGCGCAAUGAAAGCAAAGGCCGGACUAGUUCCGGUCAGGUUGGGAUCCCCGGGCCUACGAGCUCGGGGCGCACCAACGACCCGUCCUAUCCGAUUCAUCGGUUGGGCGGAGUCUGAGCAUACACGUUGGGACCCGAAAGAUGGUGACCUAUGCCCGGGCAGGACGAGGCCAGAGGAAACUCUGGUGGAGGUCCGCAGCGGUUCUGACGUGCAAAUCGA
rnacentral:rRNA from 1 species